CUAUAUGUUUUAGUCUUUAGUUUUAUUUCAUUAUUACAUCGUUUAAUUAAUCCUGACUGCUAAAAACUUUGUACAACACGUUACAUUUGAUACAUUAAGAGAGAGUUAAUGUACAGAUUUAUAGAUGACUUAGCUUUAAAUUUAAUUUCUGUUGCGCUUCUGUUUGGGCUAUGAGAUUUGUUGAUUUUGGGUCCGUAAUAUUAUUUGAUGGAUUCUGACACUAUUGAGUAGUUUCACCAUGUAUACAAGAGUAUUGUACACCUGCAUGCCGCUAUUUAAGCCGUGCGGUUCAGUCCAAAAUGGCAACAGCGGGACAGCAGUGCCAUCUAGUGAUCUAGUGUCAAAAUUGCCACUGAGUUUUGCCUCUUGGUACUUCUGUACUCCUUGGUAUAAGUGCACCCAUAAACACACACCCUUUCAUCCUCAUGUUUGCUCUUAGUAAUGAAACCAAUUAUGCAAACAUCAAGCAGGAUAUUGAUUUUAGACAGCAUUAAAUCAAAUAUUGAAGAAAGUUAAAUGAUUACAGAUGCAAAAUUAGGCUUCAAAAGUUACAUUUGAAUUUUGUCCUAGGGUAGCAUACAGUACUGUAACAAUUAUAUUGGGAAUCCAUUGUUAUAUUUACACUUGAUAAAAUACAGGAUUAUUUUCAAUCCCACAAUGGGGCAAAAAGGGAUGAGCCCUGCCCAUGGGUUCCUUGCAAAAAUUACAUAAAUUUGGUCCUUGCCAUCAUAAAGAUGAAUAAACCUUUGGUUUUAAGCAUUGUUGGGUCUUUUCGACCCAACCUUGAGUUGAAAUAACCCAGCAUUUUUUGCUAAUAUUAAACAAUAUUUUAGCCAUAAAUAAGCUAAAUAAACAUAAAUAAUAUCUUCAGAUUCACCUUGCUGAGAAGUACAGAGGUCACACAUGAGAAAAAUUCAAUGGCAACAAGACUGAUGACAUGAAUUAACUAAUUUAAGGUAAAUCAGGGAAACACCUUUUUUUACUUGUUUUAAAUACAGUAAGUAUUUUUUAAGCUUCUGUGCAUUUGGCAAACACAUAUUCAAGGUCAACAAAAGCCAUUUUCAUAUGUCAACUUUAUAAAUAGAUCACCUGUAUGUGUCAUGCUGUGAAUCAGACUGGAUGUAAGUAGAAAUUUUCUUAAUUGAUAAACACACACGGUAUAAAAGUAAACUGGUGAGUAACUUAACUUCAAAUAAUAAAGUCCUUGUUUGCAGGAAACGGAUGAUGGUCAGACUGGGCGGUAUGGAGCGAUCAUGUAAGUGGAGCAGAGUCUAGUGAUCAGUGAUGAGACCAGACGAUGACUGAGUGAGCAGAUCCAGAGACAUGGAAGGUGUCCAUAUCAACCGAACCCUGUGAGGAAGUUUCACUUUCCCCCAGCGAUCAGAUUGACAUUUGUAAGCAGUAUCUGAACAGUUCAAGGUUUGAUGACUGUCGCCAUGUGAUGGACCUGAGUUCAUUUGAGAAAGUUUGCGCAGACGACCUGUGUCACUGUCCUGGAAACCAGGAGUGUGUCUGCAACACG